UACGAAGGGGGCUAGCGUUGCUCGGAAUCACUGGGCGUAAAGCGCACGUAGGCGGAUCCUUAAGUCGGGGGUGAAAUCCUGGAGCUCAACUCCAGAACUGCCUUCGAUACUGAGGAUCUCGAGUCCGGGAGAGGUGAGUGGAAUUCCUAGUGUAGAGGUGAAAUUCGUAGAUAUUAGGAAGAACACCAGUGGCGAAGGCGGCUCACUGGCCCGGUACUGACGCUGAGGCGCGAAAGCGUGGGGAGCAGACAGG
rnacentral:rRNA from 1 species